rnacentral:ncRNA from 2 species
GCGGUUACCUCGGGGUGCUCUGACAACAGGGCUGAGAUGCGAAAGCGGACCCGUUGAACCUGAACCGGUUAAGACCGGCGGAGGGAAGGUGCAGAGUUGAUCC